ACAUGAUUUUUUCUUAUUAAAGUUUUUAACCAAUCACAUUCCUGCCAUCAUCUGUUGCUAGGGUCAAAGAAAUCCGCCUGAGGCCUUCACUUUCAGUUCUGAAGUUUAAAAUAA